UGAUUUGAUUUCUCAAAUUUUUGUCUAUUUUUUGGUGAAACUUUUCGUGAAUAACUCGUAGAGCAGCUUCUCUCCGCGCGAUUCCCCCAUGGUUUCAACUCCUUAAUCCCUAAAACUCUGAGCGCUUUUUUACAAAAAACUAAUCAUGAACGCCCCAAUUAUUGACCCACUACAGGGGGAUUUUCCGGAAGUAAUAGAGGAGUAUUUGGAGCAUGGGGUUAUGAAAUGUAUCGCCUUUAAUCGCCGCGGAACACUUCUAGCUGCUGGGUGCUCUGAUGGAAGCUGUGUUAUUUGGGAUUUUGAAACCAGAGGCAUUGCCAAAGAACUCAGGGACAAGGAUUGUGUAGCUGCCAUAACAAGUGUUUGUUGGUCAAAAUAUGGUCAUCGCAUACUCGUCUCUUCUGCGGAUAAAUCAUUGACCCUUUGGGACGUUGUCAAAGAGGAGAGAAUAGCUCGAACAACUUUGCCUCAAACCCCAUUGCAAGCUCGUCUGCAUCCUGGUUCCUCUACACCAUCUAUUUGCUUAGCUUGUCCCUUCUCAUCAGCACCCAUGAUUGUUGACAUGAAUACAGGAAACACAACAGUACUUCCUGUGUCAAUAUCUGAUACAGGAAAUGGGGUUGUCCCUCCUUCACGUAAUAGAUUUUCAGAUGGAUCUGCCCCUUUUAGUCCUACUGCAGCAUGUUUUAACAAGUAUGGCGAUCUGGUUUAUGUUGGGAAUUCCAAAGGGGAGCUACUUAUUGUAGAUCAUAAAAACGUCUUAAUUUGUGGUAUUGUUCCUGUUCCUGGGAACGCUGUGAUAAAGAAUAUGGUAUUUAGCAGGAAUGGACAGUAUCUUCUAACAAAUUCGAAUGAUCGGACAAUUAGAAUCUAUGAAAACCUUUUGCCUUUGAAAGGAGGACUUAAAUUCUUGGAAGAAUCAAAUCAUGCAGGAGAUGAACAAGAUGGGUUUGAAAAGUUGAAAGCUGUUGGAUCAAGGUGUCUAGCUCUGUUUCGAGAGUUUCAAGAUUCCAUCACCAAAGUACACUGGAAAGCACCAUGUUUUAGUGGUGAUGGUGAGUGGGUUAUUGGAGGCUCUGCCAGCAAGGGAGAGCACAAGAUAUAUAUAUGGGACAAGGCUGGGCAUCUUGUAAAAAUCCUUGAAGGUCCAAAGGAGGCACUAAUAGAUUUAGCAUGGCAUCCUGUUCACCCUAUUGUCGUUUCUGUCUCCUUGACUGGUUUGGUUUAUAUCUGGGCCAAAGACUAUACUGAGAAUUGGAGUGCAUUUGCUCCAGACUUCAAAGAGCUUGAGGAAAAUGAGGAGUACGUAGAAAGAGAGGACGAAUUUGAUUUAAUGCCAGAAACUGAAAAGGUGAAAGAAUCUGAUGUUGAUGAAGAUGAAGAAAUUGAUAUUAUGGGAGUUGAAAAAGACUCAGCGUUUAGUGAUUCUGAUAUGUCACAGGGUGAGAUAUGCUUCUUGCCCGCUGAUCCAUCCCCAGAUGUUCCUGAACCACAGGACAAGUUUGUUGGAAGUAAUUCGAAGCAGGGGGACAGUAACCAGUCUGUAUCUGCGCUUUCAGAAGAGGCUGGACAAAGUGGUCGUCUAACAAGCCACAUAUCCACCCCACUUGAAGUUGGUGUUUCAGCGAUAUAGACCUUUAUCUGUCUGUAAAGGUUAUUGACAAAAGACAUAAUAUUGGGUACUGACUUCUCAUCACAAUAAUGCUAUCUGGUAGGAUCUUUGGGAACCAAUGGACAAUUCUGCUGCAGAGGACAAUGGAGGAACAAGUUCAAGAAGAAAUAGGAGGGCUUCAGAGGUCAUGUAGGUUUUUGCAGGUACAAAAUCUUGAGACGUCACCAUCAAUGAUGAAAGUGUUGUGUAACUCAUCAAAUUCUAUAAGCUUAUCUGCAGUUGCAUAAUUAAUUAGUCCUAAUGUAUUUGUUAAGUUCGAUUCCUUGAGACAAAUUGCUCUCAACCUAAACUUUGCCAAUUUUUGAAAAAAUUGCACAUGGUUUUGAUGGGAGCAUUGUUUUUAGUUUAGACAAAAUUGGUUUCUUGUUUUACUUUUC